AGUGAACGCUGGCGGUAGGCCUAACACAUGCAAGUCGAACGGCAGCACAGGAGAGCUUGCUCUCUGGGUGGCGAGUGGCGGACGGGUGAGGAAUACAUCGGAAUCUACUCUGUCGUGGGGGAUAACGUAGGGAAACUUACGCUAAUACCGCAUACGACCUACGGGUGAAAGCAGGGGACCUUCGGGCCUUGCGCGAUUGAAUGAGCCGAUGUCGGAUUAGCUAGUUGGCGGGGUAAAGGCCCACCAAGGCGACGAUCCGUAGCUGGUCUGAGAGGAUGAUCAGCCAAACUGGAACUGAGACACGGUCCAGACUCCUACGGGAGUCAGCAGUGGGGAAUAUUGGACAAUGGGCGCAAGCCUGAUCCAGCCAUACCGCGUGGGUGAAGAAGGCCUUCGGGUUGUAAAGCCCUUUUGUUGGGAAAGAAAUCCAGCUGGCUAAUACCCGGUUGGGAUGACGGUACCCAAAGAAUAAGCACCGGCUAACUUCGUGCCAGCAGCCGCCGUAA
rnacentral:rRNA from 1 species